rnacentral:antisense_RNA from 1 species
AUGAUUCUCCAAGUUCUCUUUCUCCUACUGUGGCACCUACUGACAAGAUAAAUGUGUAGAGGUUCCUGAGUCUAGGGGCACUAGAACCAGCUGACUGAUCUACAGAAGUUCCCUUGGUCUCCAUUUGUUUAGAAAAGCUGCAAUAAAGCAUAACCAGGAGUACAAUAGAUUUCAAUUUCUGUGAGUCCUUCUAGCAAAUUGCCAAAACUGAAGAUGGUUUUGGGAACCAUCCAAAGUUAUGCCAGAACUUUCAUGGUGAAAGAAGAGGGCAAAACUCAACCCAUCUCUUUAGACUUGGGAAGAAUAUGAAAGGACCAGGAGGGACACCUUUCCUAAUAACCUAGCUGAUGGUUCACUUAUUAGGCUGGAAAGCUAAAAAAUGACAUUCCCAGACUCCACUGGAAUUAGAUUUCCAGAGAGUUGUCUCACUAAGCCCAAAUUUGUCUAACUGGCCUUAUUUCCCCAGAGUAUACCCUGGAAGUUUCCAUUCAAGCCAAUUUAAGUUACUUUAAAUUAGGAAAGGCAGAAAACAAAAGCCCAAACCUUUGUAAAGGAGGAGGAUUUGCUACAUUGUUCUCAAUUCAUCACAGAAUAGGAUGAAACUGAGUGACUACACUUGCUGGAGAGAAA